CCUACGGGAGGCAGCAGUGGGGAAUAUUGGGCAAUGGGCGCAAGCCUGACCCAGCAACGCCGCGUGAAGGAAGAAGGCUUUCGGGUUGUAAACUUCUUUUCUUAGGGACGAAGAAAGUGACGGUACCUCAGGAAUAAGCCCCGGCUAACUACGUGCCAGCAGCCGCUGUAAUACGUAGGUGGCAAUCCUUAUCCGGAUUGAUUGGGUGUAAAGGGCGUGUAGGCGGGAAAGCAAGUCAGAUGUGAAAACUCAGGGCUCAACCCUGAGACUGCAUUUGAAACUGUUUUUCUUGAGUGCUGGAGAGGCAAUCGGAAUGCCGGGUGUAGCGGUGAAAUGCGUAGAUAUACGGAGGAACACCAGUGGCGAAGGCGGAUUGCUGGACAGUAACUGACGCUGAGGCGCGAAAGCGUGGGGAGCAAACAGGAUUAGAUACCCCUGUAGUC
rnacentral:rRNA from 1 species